rnacentral:rRNA from 1 species
AACGAACGCUGGCGGCAGGCUUAACACAUGCAAGUCGAACGCCCCGCAAGGGGAGUGGCAGACGGGUGAGUAACACGUGGGAACGUGCCCUAAGGUUUGGAAUAUUCCCGGGAAACUGGGAGCAAUACCAAAUGUGUCCGUAAGGAGAAAGAUUUAUCGCCUUAGGAUCGGCCCGCGUCAGAUUAGGUAGUUGGUGGGGUAAAAGCCUACCAAGCCGACGAUCUGUAGCUGGUCUGAGAGGACGACCAGCCACACUGGGACUGAGACACGGCCCAGACUCCUACGGGAGGCAGCAGUGGGGAAUCUUGGACAAUGGGCGCAAGCCUGAUCCAGCCAUGCCGCGUGGAUGAUGAAGGCCCUAGGGUUGUAAAAUCCUUUCGUUGGGGACGAUAAUGACGGUACCCAAAGAAGAAGCUCCGGCUAACUUCGUGCCAGCCGCCGCGGUAAAAC